rnacentral:rRNA from 1 species
UACGUAGGGGGCAAGCGUUGUCCGGAUUUAUUGGGCGUAAAGCGCGUGUAGGUGGCCAGGUAGGUCAGCUGUGAAAACUCGAGGCUCAACCUCGAGACGUCGGUUGAAACCACCUGGCUAGAGUCCGGAAGAGGAGAGUGGAAUUCCUGGUGUAGCGGUGAAAUGCGCAGAUAUCAGGAAGAACACCCGUGGCGAAGGCGGCUCUCUGGGACGGUACUGACGCUGAGACGCGAAAGCGUGGGGAGCGAACAGG